rnacentral:rRNA from 1 species
ACUCAAAUGAAUAGACGGGGACCCGCACAAGCAGUGGAGCGCCUGGUUUAAUUCGAUGAUCAACGAAGAACCUCACCUGGGCUUGAACUGUAGCUGCAACGCCGAUGAAAGUCGGAAUCCUUCGAGGGUGCUACAGAGGUGGUGCAUGGCUGUCGUCAGCUCGUGUCGUGAGAUGUAGGGUUAAGUCCCACAACGAGCGCAACCCCUAUUCGAUGUUACAAUUACUUCGAACACUGCCUCGCCAAAACGAGGAGGAAGGAGGGGACGACGUCCAGUCAUCAUGUCCCUUAUGUCCAGGGCUACACAGACGCUACAAUGGUUACUACAAUGGGUUGCCAAACCGCGAGGUGGAGCUAAUCUCAUCAAAAGUAACCUCAGUUCAGAUUGUAGGCUGCAACUCGCCUAUAUGAAGUCGGAAUUGCUAGUAAUCGUGUAUCAGCAUGACACGGUGAAUACGUUCUCGGGUCUUGCACACACCGCCCGU